GAUGAAGAACGCAGCGAAAUGCGAUAAGUAAUGUGAAUUGCAGAAUUCCGUGAAUCAUCGAAUCUUUGAACGCAUAUUGCGCCCCCUGGUAUUCCGGGGGGCAUGCCUGUCCGAGCGUCAUUACAACCCUCAAGCUCAGCUUGGUGUUGGGCCCCGCCGCCCCGGCGGGCCCUAAAGUCAGUGGCGGUGCCGUCCGGCUCCGAGCGUAGUAAUUCUUCUCGCUCUGGAGGUCCGGUCGUGUGCUCGCCAGCAACCCCCAAUUUUUUUCAGGUUGACCUCGGAUCAGGUAGGGAUACCCGCUGAACUUAAGCAUAUCAAUAAGCGGAGGA
rnacentral:misc_RNA from 1 species